rnacentral:rRNA from 1 species
AAAAGCAUUUGGAUUCGUGUCCACCGAGAGUUUCAUGAGCGCAAGAAGUUUUCGCCUUACCAAUUUGUGAGCACGCGCGGGUGGGUGUCCAUUUCCAAGCGAUGGAGGGUGAUCCCACAAGAGUGCAACAAGUUUUGCGCCACUCUUGAGAGCGUCAAGGCCCGCCCCGUGAGCGGCAUCGGCAUGCAAGACAUGGUAUGCUAG